AUUAUCCACUUCAAGCCUCGGGGCUUUUGUCAAGAUUUCGUUUUUCUCUCUUAAGAAAAUUUUUUUAAAUACUUGUGUUCCCAAGGGAUCCCCCUCACCCCAGAACAGGGCAGUUGUGCCCCCCUCCCUUGGGUCCAGGCCCGCCCACUCCCCCAACACUGCCCGCCCUGCCCUUCCCACUCUAGAGGUAGCCUGUCUCCAUGGUAACACUCUCCGCCUCUGGUUUCCAUGGCGAUCACCCCAACCAGGCUCUCCACACACACCCCCUUGUUUCCUGGGCAACAAGAGGGGGCAUGCAGCCAUCUGAACCAACCACUACCCAGGGAAGUCUGCCCCACCAGGAAAUCAGGACUCCCCAACUGGCCCCCUUGGCUAUGCGUCACGGGUUCUCUACGAACCUCUGUUUCUUUGUCUGCUGAGUGGACUCAGUAAUCCCUACACCAGGCCUGCCCUGAGGUGUGUGCCCUGAGCUCUGGGCACAGGCCAGCAGGAAGCACCAGCAGGCCUCUCCCCUGGGAUUCUCUCCGAUGACACUCUUCCUGAACAGAGAAACUGAGGCCUGCCAGCAGUCACAGAGCCAGCCAGAGGAGAGCUCAAGUGGCCUUCGGACCACCAUGCAACACCACUCCCCCACAUCUGCCAGGGAAGGACUUGGCUUUGCAGAGAUCACCAUCACUAAACUCCCUGGACUUGACUAAAGGCUUUAGAACCGUGACCCUAUCA